AGUAAAUUGGUUAAGUUAGAAAGGGCGCACGGUGGAUGCCUUGGCACUAGGAGCCGAAGAAGGACGGGACUAACACCGAUAUGCUUUGGGGAGCUGUACGUAAGCGUUGAUCCAGAGAUUUCCGAAUGGGGGAACCCACUAUCUUUAGUCGGAUAGUAUCCUUACGUGAAUACAUAGCGUGAGGAAGGCAGACCCAGGGAACUGAAACAUCUAAGUACCUGGAGGAAGAGAAAGAAAAAUCGAUUUCCUGAGUAGCGGCGAGCGAAACGGAAAGAGCCCAAACCAAGAAGCUUGCUUCUUGGGGUUGUAGGACACUCUAUACGGAGUUACAAAAGAAAGUUAUAAAUGAAGCGGUCUGGAAAGGCCCGCCAAAGACGGUAACAGCCCGGUAGUUGAAAUGGCUUUCCCUCCAGAGUGGAUCCUGAGUACGGCGGAACACGUGAAAUUCCGUCGGAAUCCGGGAGGACCAUCUCCCAAGGCUAAAUACUCCCUAGUGACCGAUAGUGAACCAGUACCGUGAGGGAAAGGUGAAAAGCACCCCGGAAGGGGAGU
rnacentral:rRNA from 1 species